rnacentral:rRNA from 1 species
AUUGAACGCUGGCGGCAGGCCUAACACAUGCAAGUCGAACGGUAACAGGAAGCAGCUUGCUGCUUUGCUGACGAGUGGCGGACGGGUGAGUAAUGUCUGGGAAACUGCCUGAUGGAGGGGGAUAACUACUGGAAACGGUAGCUAAUACCGCAUAACGUCGCAAGACCAAAGAGGGGGACCUUCGGGCCUCUUGCCAUCGGAUGUGCCCAGAUGGGAUUAGCUAGUAGGUGGGGUAACGGCUCACCUAGGCGACGAUCCCUAGCUGGUCUGAGAGGAUGACCAGCCACACUGGAACUGAGACACGGUCCAGACUCCUACGGGAGGCAGCAGUGGGGAAUAUUGCACAAUGGGCGCAAGCCUGAUGCAGCCAUGCCGCGUGUAUGAAGAAGGCCUUCGGGUUGUAAAGUACUUUGCAGCGGGGAGGAAGGCGAUAAGGUUAAUAACCUUGUCGAUUGACGUUACCCGCAGAAGAAGCACCGCUAACUCC